rnacentral:lncRNA from 1 species
UCUGUUCUUUAAUGAGUAGUCAUAAUAUGAGAAGCCCAAGCCACAUGGGGAGACCACAUGGAGAACUAACUUGCCUCUGUCAAUCCCAUAUGAUCUCCCUGCCAAGUGCCAGCAUCAAAUGCCAACCAUGAUUGUUUUAAGUCCUCAUUGGGCAUUUUAAGUUCUGUUUGAAAGAGCUGCAUCACAAUUCUUAUAAAGGACUUGUUGAAUCAUAAGCUGUUUCCUUAAGCACCAGUUAUGUGGGGGACCUUGUGCCAGGCACUGGGCCACAUAAAUGAGAAUCACAAGGACCAGGAUUAAGAAAAGACAGGCUCCAGUGUGACUCAGCACAGUGUUCACAGCCCAUGCUCUCAAGAAUCUCAGCUUAGGAGGAGGCAAAGAGCCGCUCUACAGUAAGGUAAAUAAGUCAUUUAGUCAGGAACUCUGCACAUUUACCUCUGCAUUUAUCAAAUAUUUGUUGAAGGAAAUAAUAAAAGAAGUGAGGAGGAAGAAGAGGUUUCCUGGGUUUUUUUAAUGUGUGAGAUUGGAAGAAAUCUUGUGAGUAAUCAUGAAUUUUAGGAAUCCCAGAAGGGAGCAAAGAAGAUUCUGAAAAAAAGAGAAAUACUUCUCUGAGUUGGAAAUUGGUUAAAUUUAGUGAUGUUUGAGCCUCAGCUUACAUUGGAAAUCACUAACUACUUUUAAAUUACUUUUGGUUUUGGACCCUGUUUCUUGCUCUGGGACUACACAAAAGGACUGAGCCAAGACAGGAGCAGGAAUUUGGCUUGCCAUUUAUUUAAUUUAUAUUUUAUUGUCUGCUAAAAAUUGAAUGCGUUUCAGAGCAAGAUAGAAGAGGAGUACAUCUCAAAUGCUUUUGAAGUUACAUUUCCAAAGUGAGGUCCCAGCUGGAAGUAUAAAUGGUUCUCCAAUUUUGCAGAUGGAAUUUUAUCCAAUAUUCAGAUGUAUAAUCUGCUUCAAGUAUGUACACAGGGGAAGUAAUAAGAGUACUGUGAAUUCUCAACUGACCAUUUUCUGACACAUUAAAGAAAUAGCAAAGCACUUAUCUCUGAAGUCUCACUUUUUAAAUAUGUUACAAUGAAUUGUGAUCCUGUUUUAUGUAUCUGACUGACAGCACUGGGAAUUAAGUUCCUCAGCCAAUGAAAUAAUAAACCCAAUGCCACGAUAAAACCUACGGUAGAGACUGAUAAGGACUCCAGAUCCAGGCUGCUAAUACUCUUCAAAGUCAUUCAGCUGUGGCUACUACAUGAUGUCUGAGUGUUUCCACAAGGCACUGUUUUGGACAUUGGGAACAUCGAAGUAGAGUGAGCAUCAUCAUGAAUGGAAACACUUUCUCUGAAAAAAGACAUAAAACAAUUGAAAGUCAGCAGUGUCUUUCUUGCAAAAUAUUAUGAAGAUCAGGACAAUUAGAAUUAGGUAUACUCCAAUUCCAUUUUAGAAUUUGCAAUAGAGAAGGUGCUUUGGGAAUGGAAUUAAAUGAGCUGAUUCAUGUAAAGGGAUUUAACUGGGUGCCGGACCUGUCAUAAACUCUUAACGUGAACAGGAGAGUUACUGUAAAAACUGAGACAACAAAACAGCCGGAGGCAUGAAAAGAAAAAGAAUCCCGCAUGAAUAGCUUGCUAUAUGUAAUUUGGUUAGGAACAAUUCACAGGUUUUGACAGCUUUAUUAGAGUUCCAUUUUAGUAAGAUUCAGGUGAAAGUGAGGUCAUCACUUUAAAACAAAAAUCCUGAGAACAUACCCAGAUGGACUCACAUAAAUGAUGUAUACUAAUGUCGUCAAGUAAAUAUUUUAAAGAGUUAAUUGCUUUCUUUAUUAAAAACUGGAUUUAAAUACUCCAUUAUUUCAUAAGAAUAAAACAACUACAACACCGCCACAACAUAAAAAGUGUUUACCUUAAUGUAUUAUGAACACCAGCAGUGAGUUCCAGUAAUAUCUUGCACUUCUGAAGAUGUGUAAGUAUACUAAGGAACAUGCUUAACUUAGAACUCACUAAUGGAAGUUACAGAGAUUUAUUCAGAUCCAUGUUAGCAUGCUUGAUACCCUUAAGCACACUAACAAUAUACAGCAUCUGCUUUCAGGGAUGUUUUUACCUCUUGUACUAGUUUCAGAAAGCCCAUGUCUGAAUAAUUCCUAAGUAAUGGUUUUUUAGCUUACUCUAUAAUUUUGAUU